UGGGUCUAGCCACCCAGCAAGUCUCCCCACCUCCAGGCUGGUACUGGGGGUUGUCUGCACAGAGUCCUGUGAUGUGAACUGUCUAUGGGUCUCUCAGCCACGGAUACCAGCACCUGUUCUGGUGGAGGUUGCAGGGGGGUGAAAUGGACUCUGUGAGGGUUCUUAGCUUUUUGGUGGUUAAUGUUCUAUUUUUGUGCUGGUUGGCCUCCUGCCAGGAAGUGGCACUUUCCAGAGAGCAUCAGCUGUGGUAGUAUGGAGAGAAACAGGUGGUGGGCGGGGCCCUAGAACUCCCAAGAGUAUACGCCCUUUGUCUUCAGCUGCCAGAGUGAAUAGGGAAGGCCCAUCAGGUAGGGGCAGGACUAGGCGUGUCUGAGCUCAGACUCUCCUUCGAUGGGUCUUGCUGUGGCUGCUGUGGGAGAUGAGGGUGAGGUUCCCAGGUCAAUGGAGUUGUGUACCUAGAAAGAUUAUGGCUGCCUCUGCUGAGUCAUGCAGGUUGUCAGGGAAGUGGGGGAAAGCCGACAGUCACAGGCCUCACUCAGCUCCCACACAAUUCAGAGGGCCGGUCUCCCUCUCACUGUGACCCGCUAACAACCCUGAGGCUGUUUCCAGGCAGUGGGCCGAGCAGGGCUUGAGAACUUGCCCCAGGCUACCUGCCUCCCAGCUGUGAAAGAACACAGCUUUUGUUCUUCCCCUGCCUGUGGAGUCUGCACACCAGAUUUGCACCCUCCCCUGAUUUCCGGCCAGGAAGCUUCUUUCUGGGUUCAAAUUUUUUCAAAUUUCAGCUGGAGACUUCCUUCUUCCUGUGGUGUUUUCCCCCAUACCUCUGGCUGCCCUCCCGAAGGAUCCCUGUCAUGCCAGGCAGGAAUAGCCUGCUUGGGGACCCAGCGAGCUCCUGGGGCCUUUCCCGCUGCUUCCUCUACCCCUGUAUUUUGCUGGGCUCUCUAAAUUGGCUCAGCUCCAGGCAUAUCCACAGCUCUUCAAAUAAGCAAUGUGAUGUUAGCAAAAGUGCAGGGGCUCCUUGAGAACUUUCCAGGGCUAACCAGCUGCUGAGGAGUGGCCUCCAGGAAAGAGAGAAGCACUCUGAUUCAGGCAGUGAUUUACACCUAAAAUACCAACUCUGUCAUAUCUUCAGAACAAUUCUUCUAGACCUUGCAUCUAAAUAUGGAGUCGUUAACUAUCAACGAACAAAACCUCUGGAUGGCCGAAGGACCUAGGCUAUACAGAAAGCUGUGAAUUACCAAUGAGAACGCAGAUUAGAUCAAAGAUGUCCCUAAGAAGCAUUGAGAUGUCACAAAGUUCUAGGAGGGGCAUGAUAAAGUAAGCAGAACACCGCAGUGGGCAUCAGAAUGCAUUCCAUUUCCAGACCUAUCUCUUACCAUCUGGAUAUCUCACUCUCAGGAAGAUCAAGUGACAAACCUGGAUUAGUCCAUUUUCACACUGCUACAAGGAACUACCUGAGACUGGGUAGUUUAUGAAGAAAAGAGGUUUAAUUGAUUCAUAGUUCUGCAGCCUUAACAGGAAGCAUGACUUAGGGGUCUCAGGAAACUUAUACAAUCAUAGCAGAAAGUGAAGGGGAAGCAAGGUAUGUCUUCUCGUGGUAGCAGGGGAGAGAGAGAGCAAAGGGGGAACUGGCACACAGUUUUAACCAUCAUAUCUGGUGAGAACUCAUUCACUAUCACAAAAACAGCAUAGGGCAAACCACCCUCAUGAUCUAGUUACCUCCUACCAGGUCCCUUCCCUGACAUGUGGGGAUUACGAUUUGACGUGAGAUUUUGGUAGGGACACAGCCAAACCAGAUUAAAACCCAGACUCUCAAUCUCCAUCUCUGACUUCCUCCAUCUGCUGCUUCCUCCUUCUUCUUUCCAUCCCGUAGCUAUGAGAAAUCAGGUGGGUGCUCUUCUAUUCAUCUCAUGAACUACUGGACAUGUUUACAUUUGGGGAACUUAAAAAUGAACCAGAUAGCUGUUGGCUGUUGUCUUUUUGUGAAGAAUAAUUUUAGGGAUCAAAAGACAAAAAGAAAAACAUUCUUUGUAUCAGAGAAUAGCAUUAUGAUCUCCACACAUAGUGCCAGCUCUUUUAACUUUUAAGGUCAAAUUUCCUAGUUUUCCAAAUGUCCACUGAUUCCCUUUAAACAAAACCCUGUCUGGGCAAAAUAAAACAUGUCCAUGAACUCAAUUUAGAUAAAGCUGAUUUGGCCUAUGAGCCAUGAAUUUAAAUAAAUCUUAAAUAAUGG